CUUGGAAAGUUCCUAGGGCUACACAAUUCCCACUCCUUUUGAAGCAGAUAAUUAGCAGAGACAUCCUGAUUUAAUUCAUUUCCGAAUGAGGUCCUGGAAAAUCCUGAAUGUUUUGAAAGAAAGUAGCAGAAAAUAGAGGACAACUCUGACCCCCUCAUGUCUCCAAGCCAACUGUUUCCUCCUUCUCUCCUACUCAUUUCAUAUUUCCCAUAUGAGAGAUGGAAGCCCUACAAGUUUCCUUCUAGCUUAGAAGACACCACCCUUGUUGUAAUGUGUUGUAUUGGUGACUGGGUAGUUCCAGGGGCUAAUGAGGAGAUAUAAAAUCACAGUGAACCCAAGUGACUAUUUCGAAUCUAACCCAAGUAAGUACUGUUCAUUUGAUCUUUAAUCUUGUAUCUGAUCAAAGUAGCUAUCGUUCAUUUAGUCUU
rnacentral:lncRNA from 1 species